rnacentral:rRNA from 1 species
AUACGUAGGUGGCAAGCGUUGUCCGGAUUUACUGGGUGUAAAGGGCGUGCAGCCGGGGAAGCAAGUCAGGUGUGAAAUGCAGAGGCUUAACCUCUGACUUGCAUUUGAAACUGUUUUUCUUGAGUACUGGAGGGGCAAUCGGAAUUCCUAGUGUAGCGGUGAAAUGCGUAGAGAUUGGGAGGAACACCAGUGGCGAAGGCGACUUACUGGACUGUAACUGACGCUGAGGCGCGAAAGUGUGGGGAGCAAACAGGAUUAGAUACCCUGGUAGUCCACACUGUAAACGAUGAAUGCUAGGUGUAGGGGGUAUCGACCCCUUCUGUGCCGCAGUCAACACAAUAAGCAUUCCGCCUGGGGAGUACGGCCGCAAGGUUGAAACUCAAAUGAAUCGACGGGG